AUUAUGAAGUGGGCUUAGUGUCUGAAAUAACUCAGAAAGUUUGUGAUAACAUCAGCCUCUUCCUCAGAAUAUUUAACAGGACUGGGGUCAAAUCAAAGCACAACAUUU
rfam:Daucus carota subsp. sativus cultivar DH1 chromosome 3, whole genome shotgun sequence.